rnacentral:rRNA from 1 species
CCUACGGGUGGCAGCAGUGGGGAAUAUUGGACAAUGGGGGGAACCCUGAUCCAGCGACGCCGCGUGAGUGAAGAAGUAUUUCGGUAUGUAAAGCUCUUUCAGCAGGGAAGAAAGAAAUGACGGUACCUGACUAAGAAGCCCCGGCUAACUACGGGCCAGCAGCCGCGGUAAUACGUAGGGGGCAAGCGUUAUCCGGAUUUACUGGGUGUAAAGGGAGCGUAGACGGCGAUGCAAGUCUGAAGUGAAAGGCGGGGGCUCAACCCCCGGACUGCUUUGGAAACUGUAUGGCUGGAGUGCAGGAGAGGUAAGUGGAAUUCGUGGUGUAGCGGUGAAAUGCGUAGAUAUUAGGAGGAACACCAGUGGCGAAGGCGGCUUACUGGACUGUAACUGACGUUGAGGCUCGAAAGCGUGGGGAGCAAACAGGAUUAGAUACCCGGGUAGUC